rnacentral:misc_RNA from 1 species
UGGAAUUAUAGUUAAUCACAAACCAUCUCGUAUUUUUAGGGAUCAGAGGGGAUGUGAAGCUGAUGAUGCACUGGUGAGUCAUGAAAGCAAGGAGGCCGCAUUGGGAUGGGAGAGGAAGGCUGCCUUCCUUCUUUUCCCAAAAACUGGAGCCAUGAAAGCAGGAGACAGUGGCAGCCUGCAGCCUGCAGCGACGGCAGCAGCUGCCUGCACUCCCGCACUCACCACCGUGGUACGAUCCCCAGGCGCGCAGGCGCCCAGAUUCCUUCACCGGUUCACCCUACUGGCUACUGCACCUAGGAGUACUGCCUUCCAGCUCUCUCUCUCUCUCUCUCUGUCUCUCCCCUGCCGUCUCGCUGAAAUCGAGACGCAUUUGAUUAGACUGGGACGGAAACGGGAAAACAAAACGAAAUUCGAGGGGAAUUGGGCGCAGCGAGCGACGCAGGAUAAUUAUCCAUCAUUUCAUGUGGGCGCGGCUGCUAAAUUCCACGAAACCGUUAGCCGCUUUCCGCAGGGAAAAAAAAUCAUGCCGGAGACAGGCUUCUUGAACCAGACUGCAAAUGCGUCUGGACGAGGACGACGACGAGUUCCCCUGUCUCUCUCUCUCUCGCUCCUUUACCUGGAGACGUCCUCCCAUAGGGG